ACGCACGCUGGCGGCGUGCUUAACACAUGCCAGUCGCACGGAAAGGCCUCAGCUUGCUGGGGUACUCGAGUGGCGAACGGGUGAGUAACACGUGGGUGAUCUGCCUUGCACUCUGGGAUAAGCUUGGGAAACUGGGCCUAAUACCGGAUAUGAACUGCCUUUAGUGUGGUGGUUGGAAAGUUUUUUCGGUGCAAGAUGAGCUCGCGGCCUAUCAGCUUGUUGGUGGGGUAAUGGCCUACCAAGGCGUCGACGGGUAGCCGGCCUGAGAGGGUGUACGGCCACAUUGGGACUGAGAUACGGCCCAGACUCCUACGGGAGGCAGCAGUGGGGAAUAUUGCACAAUGGGCGGAAGCCUGAUGCAGCGACGCCGCGUGGGGGAUGACGGCCUUCGGGUUGUAAACUCCUUUCGACAGGGACGAAGCUUUUUGUGACGGUACCUGUAUAAGAAGCACCGGCUAACUACGUG
rnacentral:rRNA from 1 species